UCCCCAUCCAUCCCUCCAUUUCCCCUCAUUCACCUUCAUUCCCCCCCCUCCAUUUCCCCUCCCUCUCCCGCCUUUCCCGGCUCUCCACAGCACCGCGAUGGAGACCGCGGGCUGCGUGUGGGAAGAGCGUUGCCCUCGUAGCGCCCAUCAUCGGCGGCGAACAACCUCCAACAAUAUCCCGUGUUCUCUGUGCAUAGAGGAACAUUUGCAAUGCAAAUAAAGCCAGGGAUUCCUUCAGAGAACGGCGUUUAUCAGCCUCGGGCUCAGCUGUGUGCGAACCCCGCAGGUCACCGGCCCGGCUGCGGGCAUCGUUGAACACCGCUGUUAGCUCCUAUUUGCAUCUGAAAAGUGGGUUUUGUUUACACCUCCGUACAACGGGUUGUUCCGAGCUUUAAAUUAACCUCCAAACUCAAUCGGUGACCGUUUAUGAGCAAGUUUUUCUCUUAGAAACCCGCUUGGUGCUGGUUUUUGUUUGGGGGGGGUCAGCCCGUCGCUGUGAGAGAGCAGAAGAAUGUUAUGAGCCCGCAGCGCUGUGCGUGCUGCUCACCCGUAGCCACAGGCGGGGAUUAACGGGCUCCCAAACCCUUCCAAAGAGCCACUUCAACCUCGUCAGCUUUGAUAGGAGAUAUUAGUAAAGCAAAACGCUUCAUCGCUUCAGUUCACAGCGACAAAACAAAAGGAACCCCCCCACAAACCCCCCCUGUUUGAUUCCUCUUUUAAGUGCCCGCUGCUAAUUUUCCGUGUUCUGUCUGUUGCAGGCCCGAAGGACAUCUCCUCGGACAGUCUCUUUUCUUUCCCCAUUCAGACCCGGGCCUCUUUCUUGUGAGUUCCCAUUGAUAUCUUUAAUUGUAGACGUUAUUCCCGUGCUCACGACUCUGAGGGUUCAGCCUUUUCUUUUCCAGCUCGUGGUGUCAUUCAUUCUCAGCCUUGGUUGGUUACAAGCCCCCAGGUUUAAAACCUUUCCUGGAAAUCGUUUGAGUUAUAGAAGGGAGCUUUUCAACUCAUCUGGUCCACCACCCUGCAAUGAACAGGGAGAAUCCUUCCCACAGUGGAGCACUUGAUCCCACUCUCCCUCUGUAUAACCAAGUCCUAAUGUAGGAGAUGCUGUUUAAGUCAUGCAACCCUCCGAACUUUUCCUGCCGAAUGAAACUUCAUUAGAAUCUGAUUUUUAUUUCAAUUCCGACAUUUAAAUUCUGACAUUUGUGUGCCUUUAUUUUAUCCAGCUCGUUGCUGCCACACACACUGGAUGCAGAUUGCCCUCCCACUCCAGCUCGGGAUGCUGCAGUUCCCCAUCUAUGCUGAUAUCUCAAUGCACUGCUCCAGCUUUCAAGGUGCUCAAUGGCCGAGGAUGGGAUUCAAGCAUGAACUUGACCACUUCUGAGUUAGGUAUGGGGAAACUCAGCUUCCACUCUGAUAGGCAGACCAGCACCUGGCCACAAAACUGAACUACACUGAAGGAAUUGGGCAGUUAAAAAGCAGCCAAAGGUAGAUUUGCCAGGCUCUGUAGGAGGAUGUUGGGAUUUCAGAUGUCUGGUAGUGUUGGGGGGAAGGUGUAGCCAGCAGCCACACAAGCUUCCUCCAAACCUCUCCUUUUGCAGGGAUGUCUGAAGCUAACGAGCUGUCAGCUGAGUGCCUUCGCACCCAAGGUAGCCGUGGGCUGAGCUCCUGCUUCUUUAGAUCUAUUCCAGCAACUUCUGGGUUUUGCAAUAAGCGUCUGCAAAUCCAAUUAGCUACUUUCUUUGUGGCACUGUAGUCUGGCAGAGAUCUGCUGUGUUGCUGCCAUCUACAGUAGGGCCAGUGCCAAUGGAUAAGAAACAGAUCUGAUUUGCAUAUUCAAAUAUGCAAAUGGACCGAUGACAGCUCUCCUUAAUUUCUGUUUGGGCUUUUGAUUGCAAAAGCGUUGCUUCAGAGAUCCUAGUCUUGUGCUGAGAGGUGUGUGUUCCAUCCUGCCUGGCCCUCGCUAUGCCAAGGGAUCGUUCUGUCCCAUGAGAGCUGGAAAAUGAAGUGGAAAAAAUACUUUGCACUGCACCUGUCCCUCCCUUGGCCAGGUAAACACAGGAGACACCCAUACUGCUUACUUGCCAGGAUCCAAGCAACAUCUCUCCUGUUGCAAUGAGAGUAGUUUCCUGUGGGCUUAGCACCACUCUUUGAGUUGGCUGCCUCAUACCAUCAAGCCUUGUGGUCUAUUGAUAUGUAUGUGUGUAUUAUGUUUGUGUUACUACAAACACAACAGCCAACCACUUCUGUAACCUUGCCUUGCCCUUCCUGUUCUUGGAGAAACAAGUUCGCUUCGCUGUUCAUUGCCAUUCAGCAUUGUUUUCUCAUUGCUAUUUUAGUUGCAUCUUCCCUUUUUCUGCUCUGAACUGAAGACCACAAGUUCUGUGGUCAGUCUGUGCUUUGAGUGGCUUGGAGAGCUGCCAGCUGCCAAGGAAGGCCCAUCCCCAGCACUUAGAGUCAAACAGCGUGGAGAAACACUGAUCUUGUAAUGGUUGUGUGGACUUAAAGACACUGAUCUUGCAUUUGAGCCUAGUUUCUCUGAGAAAACUCACUUCAGCUUCAUAUCCAGAUGCAAUACUGCUGAAUGGAAAGACCCCUCAGUUCUCCCCUGGAUCUCUAUGCAACAUGGGCAGCACAAGCGUCCUCAAACCGCCCCGCCAACGUGCUUCAAUUCUGAAUGAGGAGAACCAGCUUUCUGGGUGAGAAAGGAGUCUGUCUCUAUUCAGUCCCUGACCCUUCUGCUCAAGACUGUUGAUGAAGGGGCCUCAUUAGCACCAAAGUGAACUGAGACACCUCGUCUGUCAUGGAAUCUGAAUCAGUGCAGCUCAUGAAUUGGGACCCAAUGCAUGAAUGCUUAUGGAAAGUGAAUGGGAAAACAUGGAGGACAGUCCUAACUGAGACCACGAGCUUCAGCGUGAAGGCAGGGAGAAGCAAAUCCUUUCAUCUCAGGUCCAUGAAUGCGCACUGUCCUUUAUGGAUAAUUCCCUCUGCUCUGAAGUUUCCAGCCUGCUGGCCACAUCCUGCAGUGUAAAUCUAUAACAGCAGGAGGCAAUUUGGUGCAGCAAAACAGAUCUGAAUGGGUUCCCCUCAACCCCACACUGGUCCCCGAGUCCCACAUAAAGGAGAAGGAGCUGCAGAGACGGCAGAGAUGAACCUCUCAACCUCCUCCUCACUUU